GCCUGGAUAGCUUAGCUAGUUAGAGUGCGGUGCUAAUAACACCAAGGUCGCAGGUUCGAUCCCCAUUUGGGACA